rnacentral:rRNA from 1 species
GAUGAACGCUGGCGGCGUGCCUAAUACAUGCAAGUCGAGCGAACAGACGAGGAGCUUGCUCCUUUGACGUUAGCGGCGGACGGGUGAGUAACACGUGGGUAACCUACCUAUAAGACUGGGAUAACUUCGGGAAACCGGAGCUAAUACCGGAUAAUAUUUCGAACCGCAUGGUUCGAUAGUGAAAGAUGGCUUUGCUAUCACUUAUAGAUGGACCUGCGCCGUAUUAGCUAGUUGGUAAGGUAACGGCUUACCAAGGCAACGAUACGUAGCCGACCUGAGAGGGUGAUCGGCCACACUGGAACUGAGACACGGUCCAGACUCCUACGGGAGGCAGCAGUAGGGAAUCUUCCGCAAUGGGCGAAAGCCUGACGGAGCAACGCCGCGUGAGUGAUGAAGGUCUUCGGAUCGUAAAACUCUGUUAUUAGGGAAGAACAAACGUGUAAGUAACUGUGCACGUCUUGACGGUACCUAAUCAGAAAGCCACGGCUAACUACGUGCCAGCAGCCGCGGUAAUACGUAGGUGGCAAGCGUUAUCCGGAAUUAUUGGGCGUAAAGCGCGCGUAGGCGGUUUUUUAAGUCUGAUGUGAAAGCCCACGGCUCAACCGUGGAGGGUCAUUGGAAACUGGAAAACUUGAGUGCAGAAGAGGAAAGUGGAAUUCCAUGUGUAGCGGUGAAAUGCGCAGAGAUAUGGAGGAACACCAGUGGCGAAGGCGACUUUCUGGUCUGUAACUGACGCUGAUGUGCGAAAGCGUGGGGAUCAAACAGGAUUAGAUACCCUGGUAGUCCACGCCGUAAACGAUGAGUGCUAAGUGUUAGGGGGUUUCCGCCCCUUAGUGCUGCAGCUAACGCAUUAAGCACUCCGCCUGGGGAGUACGACCGCAAGGUUGAAACUCAAAGGAAUUGACGGGGACCCGCACGAGCGGUGGAGCAUGUGGUUUAAUUCGAAGCAACGCGAAGAACCUUACCAAAUCUUGACAUCCUUUGCUCCUUCUAGAGAUAGAAGUUUCCCCUUCGGGGGACAAAGUGACAGGUGGUGCAUGGUUGUCGUCAGCUCGUGUCGUGAGAUGUUGGGUUAAGUCCCGCAACGAGCGCAACCCUUAAGCUUAGUUGCCAUCAUUAAGUUGGGCACUCUAAGUUGACUGCCGGUGACAAACCGGAGGAAGGUGGGGAUGACGUCAAAUCAUCAUGCCCCUUAUGAUUUGGGCUACACACGUGCUACAAUGGACAAUACAAAGGGCAGCGAAACCGCGAGGUCAAGCAAAUCCCAUAAAGUUGUUCUCAGUUCGGAUUGUAGUCUGCAACUCGACUACAUGAAGCUGGAAUCGCUAGUAAUCGUAGAUCAGCAUGCUACGGUGAAUACGUUCCCGGGUCU